CGGCUAACUCCGUGCCAGCAGCCGCGGUAAUACGGAGGAUGCGAGCGUUAUCCGGAUUUAUUGGGUUUAAAGGGAGCGCAGACGGGUCGUUAAGUCAGCUGUGAAAGUUUGGGGCUCAACCUUAAAAUUGCAGUUGAAACUGGAGACCUUGAGUACGGUUGAGGCAGGCGGAAUUCGUGGUGUAGCGGUGAAAUGCUUAGAUAUCACGAAGAACUCCGAUUGCGAAGGCAGCUCACUGGAGCGCAACUGACGCUGAAGCUCGAAAGUGCGGGUAUCGAACAGGAUUAGAUACCCUGGUAGUCCGCACGGUAAACGAUGGAUGCCCGCUGUUGGCCUGAAUAGGUCAGCGGCCAAGCGAAAGCCAUAAGCAUCCCACCUGGGGAGUACGCCGGCAACGGUGAAACUCAAAGGAAUUGACGGGGGCCCGCACAAGCGGAGGAACAUGUGGUUUAAUUCGAUGAUACGCGAGGAACCUUACCCGGGCUUGAAUUGCAGAGGAAGGAUUUGGAGACAAUGACGCCCUUCGGGGCCUCUGUGAAGGUGCUGCAUGGUUGUCGUCAGCUCGUGCCGUGAGGUGUCGGCUUAAGUGCCAUAACGAGCGCAACCCCUCUCCUUAGUUGCCAUCAGGUUAAGCUGGGCACUCUGGGGACACUGCCACCGUAAGG
rnacentral:rRNA from 2 species